rnacentral:snRNA from 1 species
AGCUUUGCACAGUGGCAAUGUUGUAGCCAAUGAGGUUUAUCUGAGGUGUGAUUAUUGCUAAUUGAAAACUUUCCCAAUACUCUGCUGCGAUGACCUGAAAAUAUCUUUAGCAUU